NNAUUCCUUUUUAUCCAUUUAAUUAUUUAGUACAAAAUCAGGUCCAGUCUCCUUAGAUAUGGCAUUGAUAUAAAGUGUAAAAUGGAAGCUAAAUUCUAGGAGUACAGCAUUGCAUGCUUCUGACAGAGACAAGGAAGGCUAGAAUCACACAGUUAGUGGACACUGCAACUAUAUUGACAUUUUUUUUUUUUUAGACUGUGAAGGUGGGGACAGAUUGCUGCACUCAGAACACCUUCCCUGCUCUGGGGAAACAAACACUGUCAUCAUGGGGAAAAUGUUUCCUGUAGACCCACACAAGCACACACCCCUCCUCCUACAUCCAGCUUCUCCUCAGCCAUUUUGAAGCAGGGAAGAUCAGGGGGAUUCAUGAAUGGCGAAAUUUGGCCUUUUUUAGUGUAUUUCUCUCCUUCUGUAGGCAGACUGGCAUCACCUGACCCUUCAGAGUAUUAACUCAGACCCUGGUGACUGAGGUCCAGUACCAAGUGCUCAGCUGGGCUGCGGUGCAGGGACAGGAAGCAGAAGGGCAGAUUCAACCCCCCUCAGCUGGCCAUGCUAAUCUACUAGCUGGUGUCCUAGGGCAGCAAGGCGCCUCCCUCUCCAGGAUCUGAUGAGAAAACACUGCAGUUCCAGUUUCUUUCGGGGCUUGAAGAGAAGUCAAGGAAGCCCUGCAAGGCACUCACAGCUGAUCAUGCUUUCUGUAAUCGCCCUCCAUCUUCCUUCAUUGCUAGGAAUCAUUGGAAGGACAACAGCGGAGCUGUGAGUUUUGAAACCGCGUCCUCAUGGGGGCAGUAGAGGUCCACACAAGAGCUUAACUGGCCCCUGGGAUUUGCUGCUCAGAACCUGAGUUCACUGAGACAUCAGGAGCAAGUACUGGAGGCCGGUGCUGCUGGACCCAGAUGGGAGCCAUGCGGGACUUGACCAUGGCCUGCACACACUUCUUCCCAGGAGAAGGGGAGUGAGGAAGAACCGGCCCCUGGGAUUUGCUGCUCAGGACCCGAGUUCACUGAGACAUCAGGAGCAAGCACUGGAGGCCGGGUGCUGCUGGACCCAGAUGGGAGCCAUGCAGGACUUGACCAUGGCCUGCACACACUUCUUCCCAGGAGAAGGGGAAUGAGGAAGAAAGGCUCAUGGCGUCUAUGUCGUAAAUGAGCUGUGGAUUUGCUAUGCCCCUUCUCUUCAGCAACCCUUAUUUUUCUUGCCUGUACAUCUCUACUGUGGGAAUCACAGGGAAGCUGCUGCAGCACAACUUGAAAUAGAAAGCUGGAUGGUAUGAAUUUAGGACAAGAACAUGAGAAGAAGGGCUCCAGAGAGGAUUCAUUAAGAGCAUUUUCUGCUCUUCCAGAAGCAUCCGAGUUUGGUGUGGGCACCCAAGUCAUUAGGCUCAGAGCUGCUUGGUCUGGAUCCCCUAGGGUUGCCACCAGGAUCACCAGAAAGUUUGUUAAAUAGAGAAGCACUUGAUAGAAGGCACCUGGAUAAGGAUGGACAGAAAUCAGAGGCCUUGGCUAUCUGGAUUCUGACUUCUUCAAAAAGAUGAGAUGAUAGAUGAGAGUGGGUGCCUUAGAUCUCACUUCCUUUUCUUUAACAUAUUUUUGUUGCUGGGAUGAGAUUCUAGCCAUUCCUAAUAUAAAUACUAUUGAAAGC
ensembl:processed_transcript